GUCGAUCCCUUUAUCCACCUCCUCAACUUCGCUAAACCGAAUUCUUAUCCGCCGUAAGCCUUAUGCAACUUUUGUGUCUUCAUAUUCUUUUUCUUCAUUAAUUUCUUGGGUCUAUAUAUUUGUGAAUUCUGCUUUAAGGGUUUUUUCAUAAACGAAUUGGAUCUUUGAUUUGGGAGGGGUUCAUCAUGAAUUUGUACAAAAGUGAAUUAGGUAUGUGAUUGGGGUUUCUUCUUCUUGAAAAUUGGGUAUGUGAUUUGGGGUUUUUCUUUAUCGAUUUAUGAAUUGGGUAUGUGAUUUGGGUUUUUUUGUUCAUGGAUUUGUUUAAAAAUUAAUGGGUAUAUUAUUUCAAUUCUAUUUACUCUUCUUGCGUGAAAUUCUUGAAUAAUUUAUUUCAGUUUUAGAUUUAAUUUUCGUUAAUUGUUGAGGUAUAAUUAUGAAAUUAUUUUCCAAUCAUUAAUUAUUAAUUCUUGAAUAAUUAUACUUUGUAUGUUUUCUCAGUGCAUAAAGAAUAUGCUACCCAGGGAAAAUCAUGAGAUAUAUAGAGGUUGAACUGAACUGGUUUGCAUCGUGAAAUAAAGUUUGUUAUGUUUUUUGUUUGAUUUUUGAGAAAAAUUAAAAUGAAAAGUAUUAUUACUACUUAAAUAUAUAAAUAAUAUUGUAUUAAUGGAUUUAAUAUCUAAAUUUAAAAUAAUAUAGUAUUAAAUUAAGCAUGUAUAUUUAUAUAUAUUGAUUAGUAUUUGUUGAAUUUUUUUAUAGAUUUGAUGAGAAGGUACUUUGUGAGCAGAACUACAGUGCCUAUUGAAAUUCACAAAUUUUUAGCAGCCUCACAGAUUGAUUGCGGAGAAUAAAGUUGUCUAAGGGUUUCGAUUUUGAAUUCGCCAGGUACACACUUAUGUGUUUUAAUGUUGUUCAUAUGAGAUGAUUUAAGGACUUGAUGGACAGGGGCUUUGAUGUUGUUUAUGUGAGAUUAUUUAAUGAUUUGGGGGAAAAAGAGUUUGAUAUUCUUUAGAAGAUGAUAUUUUAUUUUUAAUUUUUUUUACGGUUAAGAGACAAAAUAAAUAAUAAUUAUGUAUUUUUUGGGUGAUGGGUGUGAAGAUACACACUUAUGUAUUUUAUUUUUAAUUUUUUAAGAUUUAGAAGAUAUUUUUAUUAUUUUUUUAUUUUGUUGGAAUAAAAUGGAUUUUUGGGUAAUGGGUGUGACACUUUCAAAUCUGGGUACAUCAUUCCCACAAGAUUUGGUGUUCACUAUCCAAACAUCCAUUUCUAACUAUCCAAAUAUAAUAAAAUUUAAACCAUAAUUUUUCCUAUUAAAGGGUUACAUAACUUAAACCAAUAAAUCCCAGGUCAUCUAACCUUAAACAUUCAUCAAAUGUGGAAAAUUAAAUAAUUACAUCACAAUAAUUGUGACGCCCCCAAAUCUGGGUAUCUUCCAACCCGACAGAUGAUGCUCCACGAUACUACAAUCCAUACAAUCAUUCCAUUGAAAUAGCAACAAAAUGAGUGUAACUACUAUCUUUGUAUUACAUUUUUAAUAAAUCCUUUCUCAGGUUCAUAAACCGAAUACAUUCUUUGUUCUUAAUGAGUAUAUUACAUAAAUACACUAAUCUAUUACAGGACGAUUAAUUGUCUAUCUUAGCCUUGCCUUUAUCUCUUCUAGAACUCUCAGUUCGUUCGGCUUUACCUGCAAACAUAUGGUUCAAGCAAGAAUGAGCAUAACUAGCUCAGCAAGCCUUAACAAAGAAUCAUAUGAACAUCACAUUAACAAUUACAUGCUUUACUUCCAUAACUGAACAAUUAACUACGAAGCACUAUGGAACAUUUGACUAGUACUUCUCAUGUCAUAAUAACAAUUCCAAAGUAUAUAUAAUAUCUUAGGAAUUCUGAACCGGUCAAAAGACCAUGAGCAUACUCUUUUCGUUUUCAUACUUGAAAAGGACAUCUGGCACUAAGGCCAUCCAUCCGUCUUUACUUACGAGCACUUCUAGGUGAUUAGCCUAUUGUACUCUAUGUUGAUCAACACUCUUAGGUUAAUCGUAUUUACGCUUAACAUUUGGCAACCUCACGUGCCCAUCGAAUAAUCGAUAAAAAAUACUUUUGUUUGUACAUAGACAAACUUACCUUUUCAUCCGUACCAAAUACUUGGCAUAGGAUAGCGUUAACAGUUCUAUAUCGAAAGACUUGUAAACAAAUCAAUCCAUCCUUCAGUAUUUGUCUAACCGAGUUAAAACAGGCAUCGACUCUUUCUUUAAAACCAUUCAUGCAUUGUAUAACAUGCAUCACAGAAAACUUGGCUAACACGAAGGUUAAACAAGCGUUAAGAAAGACUUGCCUUCAAACAUCUUUGAAGAAACAAUUCAACAAUUCUCAGUCUUUACAGGAUCUACAUGAUAUAUUCAUAUAUCACACUGUAAUUAGUUAUCAAACAAACUAACUUUAUUUGUUUAUAACCAACUUCUUUCUCUUCUAUGUUUUAUUCGAAUUAACUUCGUUAUUAAAGUCGAUUUGACUUCCUAUACUUUGUUACGGCUCGUUAACGUUCUUACGUUACUAACCGACAUUCGAUCAUCAUUGGUGAAGCACCAACGUUGAACGUCAUUUAUGGUUUCCUUAUUACGUUAUCGCAUUCUUCGUUUAAUUUCUAUUAAGCCUUACUAAAUCCUUUAACAUUAUCACCUUAUAAGUGAUUUAAGGUCAGUCUUAUUAUGUACAUUAAGUACCUUCAAUGUCUUACCUUAGGUCUACAUUCAAAUGGAACAAAACCUAACUUGGUCAACAUUUUUACACUGACGGCGUUGCGGCGCGACAUCCUUACAUUACAGUGGCGCUGCAGCGUCACUCUUCAGGGGUUUUGCCCGGACAUGGCGUUGUGGCGCGAGUCCAUGCACUAAUUCUCGCGCUGCGGCGCGAGUUUCCAGACAUUUAUGGCUUCUCUAGGACAUACUUGGUGCCGCGACGUGGUAAAAAUACACUGGGUUGGCGCUGCGGCGCCGCCCCUGUGCACCAGUUGGCCAAAACAGUUUUCUUUUCUAACAAACUCCCGGCUUCCUAAUUUGUUCGUUUUACAUCCGAAUUGACCCAUUCAAAAGCAUACAACUCACAAAUUACAUCCUUUACGUGUUCGUAUAAGAAUUCUACACUUUCGAAUCCGUUAACUCGGAAUUCACCUUUGAGUUCAUUUUUGAUCAUUCGUUUAAUGUUUUUCGACGGUUCAAUACUCGUUUUCUUCGUUCUAAGUCGAAAUUCGACGAUUCUUGCGCCAGCGACUCUUAAUUACCUUAUCUCACGUGUUGACAUUGAAAACCAAAGUUUUCAAGUCACACGAUAACUUUUGACCUUUAAUCUGAGAUAUUUACGUUUUCGACGUUUAACGUCUAUUUUCGCAAAAUUCGCCAUAACUUUGUUACUUGUGUUCUAUAUUCCAAAUCAAAUGGAACACUCCAUUGAUUCAUCAUCUAUAUCCUAACCAAACAAUAUUCACAUUCCUUAGCUAUAACGGUUUUCAAAUCGUCCCUUCAUAACUAAGUUCACGUUCAAGACUUUCUACGGUUUUAACUCACGUAAACACUUACGAUUUCUAUUUGGUCAUGACCUAUCAAUGUUUUGAUCAUUAAUAGACAUCCUUAUAUCUCCUCAAUAAACAUGCUCCACCAAUCUACGAUCCUUCUACGAGAAAGAAAUCGAAAAAGAUAAAGAUUACGGUUUAUGAGAAUUUACCUUUGAAGUAAUUCACGUUCUUGAUAAACGUCUAAAGGUUUGCUUGGAAGUAGAAUAAUUAAGUGUUUCUAGCUCUUUCUCUCUCUCAAUAUGUAUUGGUCAAGCUUUGUAAAAUAACAAUUAACCAACUCUAGGUUUGUAUUUAUAGAAAACCAAAAUGAGGGCAAAAUGGUCAACUUUUCCACCUCCUUACUAUUCCACGUCCUUUGCAACUUAGCCACCAAGUAAUGACUUUACUUGGUGGCCAAGUGGCCGGCCCACCUCCCCUUUUUGUCACCCCAUGGGUUGCCCCAUGGGUUUUACCCAUCCCACGACCCACCGGUUCGACCCGCGAUUUAACUUUUUGGAUUGGGCUUGACAUAACUUAACGUUGGGCCUUAACUUGGGCUUGUAUACUUAAUUCAUUGGGCUUGAUAUUAAUCCAAGUCCAAUUGGAUUGUAUAAAAUCCUUAACUCAUACUCCAUUAAUACCUCUCGUAUUCUACACGUAUAACUCCCGUAUUCCCUUCGUCUAAUACUCCUACGAUAUUCGUAUUAUACGUCGUAUUAUUCUUCGUACCAUACUGGUAUUCAUACUAGUAUAAUACUCGUAUCUCAUACGUAGAAUAAUCGAAAUGACUAUACACAUUGCAUUUCCCUUUCGAAAAUCUCUUUCACAAACCCUUAGGUUUUAAGUCCGCAGGCGAAACUUUGUUUGCCAUAACGGAAAUAUUAUUGGAUAUUCCAUAAUAUCUUCAUAUUCUAUCAUUACGCGUUUCUCGAAAUUUCCAACCCUAGCUCCGAACGAAAUCGGAUGAAUAGUGUUUUUACGCAAACAUUCUCGGAAAACCUUCGUUUUCGUCUUGAUAAUUCACAACAAUUAAUCCUAGCACAAAGCCAGAAUACUAACCACAUCCGUAUAUUCUAGGUCAUAGAACGACCUUCGAACAUCGUACUCACAUAAUAAAUCAAUUAAAUUCAUUUAAUUCACAUAAUCAAAUAAAAAUUUAAUUCAUUCAAAAUCCAAAAUUCUCGGGCGUUACAAUAAUUAAAACAAAGUCUGACAACAUAAAAGUCAAUAAAUUUGCAAGUCUUCAACACUUGUUCUUUUUUCCUUUCCCUUUGCUAGUGGUAGGUUCAUCAACCUUCUCAACUUUAGCUACAAUGGUUAUAUAUUUAAGAGUGAUCAAAACAAAUGCUCACUUGAAAAUGCAAUGAAUAAUAACAAUAUAGAAACUGCCAAUGAAUAAUCUCAAUUAAACUGAAUAACAUUCUCUAUCAUUAAUAAUCAAGAACUGAAAUCAGAAUUUGAAAUUUAUCUGAGGGUCACAAGACCAUGAACUAUGUCCAAGGUUAUAAGAAUUCUUUCAACUUAAACCUAAACAGUCAUAAGACUGUAGGGACUCCCCGUACUUAGGGUGAUCAACCCUUUGUACCAUGUAUUGUGCACAAACAUCUAAACGCUUGCGCGUAAUAAAUCCCCUAUAAUAGGGUUAUUUAUCUCAUUUUUAACAUAUGAGUCCGCACCAAAGGAAGUUUGGUUUGGAUAGGUUUCAAGGGUAAUUUAGAGUUCAACGAACAUCAACUAACAAUUAGUUGAAUCAAUAAAGUUUGAUAUCAUUUCAAGUGUUCGAUAACAAUAUGAUAUAGAAUAAUCAUGUAUCAUAAGUAAAUCAACAUUAUACAUCGAAAUCAUGCUUUAGAAAUGAACUAGAAAGAGUAGGCAUUGUAUAUUAUAACAAACCUAGCUUGAACAACAAUAAACUAAGGCUAUAAUCUUGCUCAAUAAAAGGAUUGAGUUAAUGAACUUGCAUAAUUAAUAACAAGUUGAGGAAUAAAACUUUUUCAUCAUAAGAUUAAUAGAAUUUAGGAAUUUGCAUAAUAAGAAACAAGUUAAAGAUAGGAAACCUUCUCAAAGUAAGAGUUAGGUUAAAGAGCUUACGUGAACAUAAUCAAAUUAUAAAAGUAGGGUUAGGAACUUGCUCAAUUGUAAACAAGAUAGGGUAAACUCAAAUAGAAAUUAGAGUUCAGAAACUUGCCUCGUGCGUAAGCUAUUAAAUUAUAACUCACGUUCACUUACACAUCAUUAGAAUCACAACAUCUAUUAGGUAUACUAACAUUAACCUUAAAAGUUAAAUCCCAUUUUAGUUGAACUAGUUAUCUUAGUACAAGUUCCAAUCACUAGCACCAUACAAAAUUCUGAAAUCACAAGUCUUAACAUUACAACACUUAAUCACCAUCUCUAGACUUUAACAAAUAAUAACAUGAAGCUUUCACAACUUACUAAUUUUACAAUUCGGAAUUAUCAAAUACAUAUUACAAUCUGUUAUAGCAUCUUUGUUACAUACUCACCACAUUAUCAUUUUCAUUAGACUAGGUUAGAUUGAGUUUUAAAAACUGAACAAUAAACAAGACAUCACUGUGACGCCUCCAAAUUCGGCUACUAGUCCAUUUUUAACAAAAACGAUAAACGUUCGUGAACGUUCAAUGCUCGUUUCUUCGUUCUAAGUCGGAAUCCGGCCAUUUUUGAGUCCGCAACUCUAUAAUGCCAAAUAUGACUUGUCUCCAUUGAAAACCAACGUUUCCAAGCUCAAUAUCAAAAUUCGACUUCCAUUCCGAGAAUUUCAUGAAUUCGACUAUUGUCGUCUAAUCGUGUGAAUUCCGGUGAAACUUCGUUACUUGAGAUUUUUAAACCGUUUCAAUUGGAUUCAAUCCAUUAUACUAACAUCUUGACACCCAUACUACAUUAACUUAUAAACAUGAUAAGUUAUUACCUAUUCUUGAUGAUUUUGUUACUUAUGAAAAUAUAGAUCACUUAUAUUUCCAUUUUCAUGACUUAUGUCUUCUUUGCAUAUGGCUUAUUAUGGUUAAUGAUUUUUAACCAUUCUUCUUACUUCUUAUUACCAUACUCACUUUAUAAAUGUGAACAUGUUACAAGUUCUCACAAGUUCUUAUACAUUUAUUAUGAGUUCAUAACUUAUUUAUGAAUGAAUUACUUAUUCAUGACUUAUACGGCUUAUUAAGACUUAAGCCCUUUGAUUCAUUAUUCCAACCCCUUCUUAGCAUGCUUGUUCUACCAAUACCCCAUUCUCUAACAAUGGAAGAGAAAGAGAAUCAAGGUUCAAGAAUACUUACUCUUGAAUAACACUUGGUAAAUCUUUAAUCUCCUUCUUGAUUCUUGAACUUCAAAGGUUAACUUGCUAGCUUAUUCUCACUUAUUCUCUCAAGCAAAUAAGCAUAUAAGUUGUUGGUGGAACACUCUAAUAAUAGAAGUUAAGCUUUAAAGUGCUUAUCCUCUCUAAUACUUAAGUUGUUUUGAAAUGGAUGAAAACUAACAACCAAAUAAAUGAAAACAAAGCUUGCUAUUUAUAGAAAAUCCUAGAUGAGGGCAUAAUGGUCAACAAGCCAUUCCACCUCCUUACUAUUUAUGUCUUAGCCACCAAGUAAACUUGUUCUCCAAAUAAAUUACUUGGCCAUCACAACACUUAGCCCUUAAGUCUCUUUACUUGGCCACCACAAUACUUAGCCAUUAAGUUAUCUUGCUCCCCACACUUUUUGCUUAGCCAUUAAGCUACUUGUUUAUCACUUUGGAUCACCCAUGGGUUGCCCCAUGGUUCAUACUUACUCAUUGGAUCAUAGCUUGGGCUUUAGCUUAAUUAGCUUAGCUUAUACAUUGGGCUUUACAUUUACAAAUACUUGGGCUUGCUCAUUAAUUUAUAUUCGACUUAACCAUUCCUAUAUUUGGGCCUUAUCAAACCCCAUUGGACUUAAAUAUUUCCUACACAAUCCUACAAAUUCAAUACAUUUGGCUUAAAGCCUCUUAACAUAUACUUUACGUAUUAAUCUCGUAUUCUAACUCGUAUACCUAUUCAUCAUAUACGAUAUACUAUCAUUCAUACAUACUCGUAUAAUACCUCACAUCAUACUCGUAUUCAUUCCUUCGUACAAUACCUAUGUAUAAUACGAUCAUCGCUUAAUUAAUUACAUUAACUUCUUAACGCUUGAUUUUUCCUAACGUUAUCAAAUUAAGUCCAUAGACGAAAUAUUACGUUUUCCAUAACCGAAAUAUUAUUGGAUAUUCCAUCUCACCUUGAUAUUCUAUCGUUACGUAUUUCUCGGAAGUUCAAAAAUAAUUCCCGAGCAGAAAUGUGUGAAUAGUGUUUUUCGGAAAAUUUCUCAGAAAGCUUUUAUUUUCGUCUUGGAAAUUCAAACACUUUAAUUCUAUCACGUAGCCAAAAUCCUACGAUGUUAUGACAUGUUUAGGUCAUAGAACGACCUUCAAUUAGCUUGCUCCAUAAAUAAUCCAUUAAAUUCAUUUAAUCCUUAUAAUUAAAUAAAAUUUUAAUUCUUCUAAAAAUUCGAUUUUUCUCGGGCGUUACAAUCACUGUCUCUAUUCUGGAUAAGGCGCAGUUGUGCCAAUUAAAACUCUAGAACCAGCGCAGCUGCGCAGUUUCUGCCUGACACCAGCGCAGCUGCGCUGGUGCGCAGACUGUUUCUUGCCCAGUUCAAACCCAAAACACACAAUUUUCACCAUUUAAGAAGCAAAUUAAACACACCCAUUUCAUAUAGGCUUCAUAUAAACAUUAUCCAUCAUGUAUACACUGAUUUAAAAUAACUAAAUAACUAAAACAAUCAAACCAAAAGAAUUAAAAUCAUGUUCAAGCUUAAAACUCAAAUUUUGAUGUGUUUAGCUAAUUUAAUCACUAUGACUUCAUUUCUCAACCAAAACAGUUCAUUCAAACUACAUUCUUUUAGUUUAUUUGUGAAUUAACACAUUCAAGAAUCAAUUUACAAUUUAAUUCACGAAUCAAAUAUCAAUUUUGGACUCCAACAAGCUAUAUUCAUACGUAUGCUCACUGUAACUAAUUUCUUUUCUUUUUGAACGUGAUUUUCUGAAUUAAUACACGAAAUCCAUGUUUAAAUGUUAGUUAUCACAUUACAACUACAUAUAAACACAGUGAAUCACUUUAUACAUUAAAAGUUGCAUUACACAAAUUUUGAAAAUAAAUUUUGUUUUGCAAUGAAACUCAAGAACACUAUUGCUUCAAUUAAAUUCCAUAUUCUUGAUUUAAUUCUGCAUAUAAAAAUAAUCAUCUAAAUAACAAUUUAUAUUCUCCCAAAUCAUCAACUAAAAACUCAAUUAAAGAGAAUUUUUAUGAAAACUCAAGAACACAUAAAACUUUUCAUAUAUAUAGGAACUAAAACUUUAGAAAUUAAAAUUAUACCUUCAAUUUGCUUGUUUAACAAACAAGAAUGAUUAGCUAGCUUCUUUGAUUUCUCAAACUCCUUCCUUCAAACUCAUAGACUUCUCUCAUUUUUUGUCUUUUCUCUCUUAUUUCUCUUCUUUGUUUUUUUCUUCCUUUAGUAUUAGGCUUAAACUAAAACCUAACGUAAAAAUAAAACAGACGCUAACGUGUAAAAACUGACAUAUACUAAUAACUCUACUAAAUAUAUAUCGAUUAUUUUUUAUUUUAAAUUCAAAAGCCAUAAGGCCUUGUUUGGAAAAACACUUUUACAAUAAAGACUUAAAAUUCCUUAAGCCUUGUUUGGCAACACUAAAUUUAAACUUUUUUUUUAAUUUAUUGUAAUAACUCAUUUAUAUUAUAGCUUAUUGUCACAUUUUAUUUAAUUAAAUUCUAAUAUUCAAAUUUAAUUAAAUUAAAGAUAAUAACAACUUAUUAAAUCAAUUUGCCACAUAAUCACAUUGACACAAAAUUAUAAUUUCCUUAUAAUUUUAUUUAAUAAAUUAAUACAUCACUUUCAGUACUAAAUUAAAUUAAAAAAACAUUAUAACAAUUCAUUUAAUCCUUAUCAACUCUAUAAUUUAAUUAUUAAAUUAAAUUAGAAUAUCACCACAUAAUAAUUAAUUCAUUACUCUUUUAUUUUAAUUAACUUCAAAAAUACCAAAUUACCAAUUAUCAACUUAAUUAACAUAUAACCUUAAUUAAGUUAAUUCUCAACAACUCAUGAAUUAUUUUUUAACUAAUAAAUAAUCAAAUUAAACAAAUAUUUAUUUAACAAUAAACACAUCAACUAAAAUAUUUAUUAUUUCAAUAAAUAUUUUAAAUUACAUAUAAAAAUUCGGGAUUGUUACAUCCUUCCCUUCUUACAAGGAUUCUGUCCCUAGAAUCCCAACUCAAAAAAUUUAUUCGUCACAUUGUUCCCUCCUUACAAGAAUUCUGACCCCAGAAUCAAAGACACAUAUCAAACAAAUAACUCAGUAUAGCUUUUCAUCAUUUUGUCUUCGAGUUCCCACGUAGCUUCCUCGGCACAGUGGUUCCUCCAUAUCACAUUCACGGAAGGUAUUACUUUAUUCCUGAGCACUUUUUCUUUCUUAUCAACUAUCUGGAUAGGAAUCUCCUAAUAAGACAAAUCUUUAUCGAACUGUAACGGUUCGUACUCAAUCACAUGCUUGUAGUCGGGUUUAUACGGUCUCAAUACGGAAACAUGAAAUAUAUUGUGAACUUGUUCUAAUUCUGGAGGUAGAGCUACCUCGUAAGCCACUUCACGUACUCUUCGCAACACAUCAAAGGGUCCAAUAAACCUUGGGCUUUGCUUUCCUUUCUUACCAAAUCGGAUUUUCCCAUUCCAAGGAGAAACUUUUAGGAAAACAAAAUUUCCAACGUCAAAUUCACGAUUUUAUCUGUGUUGAUCAACAUACUUCUUCUAUAUGUCUUGAGCAGCUACCAAUCUUGCUCUGAUGAGUUUGACAACCUCAGUGGUCUGCUGUACUAAUUCCGGUCCUAACAUGUGACGUUCACCAACUUCAUCCCAGCACAGUGGAGUUCUACACUUUCUGCCUUACAAUGCUUCGUAAGGCGGCAUGUCAAUGCUUGCAUGGUAACUGUUGUUGUAAGCGAAUUCAACCAACGGUAAAUGAUCAUCCCAAUUUCCUUUGAAAUUCAUAAUGCAUGCUUGCAACAUAUCUUUUAACGUCUAGAUUGUUCGUUCGCUUUGGUCGUCUGUUUGAGGAUGGUACGCUGUACUCAUUCUCAAUUGUGUUUCCAUGCAUUCUUGUAGUCUUUUCUAGAAGUUUGACGUGAAUGGCGGAUCUCUGUCUACAUGUCUCGAAACGAUCUCCUUGACGUACAACUUUGCCAACUGAUCAAGAUUGAAUCUAACCUUUAUUAGCAAAAAGUGUGCUGAUUUUGUCAACUUGUCCACUAUUACCCAAAUCGCAUCGUACCCUUUCUGAGUAGUUAGAAGACCUACCACAAAAUCCAUUGUGAUAUGCUCCCACUUCCAUUCUGGUAUUUCCAACGGCUGAAGUAAUCCGCUUGGUCUCUGAUGCUCGGCCUUGAAUCUUUGACAUGUCAAGUAUUUUGCGACACAUUCUGCAACAUUUCUUUUCAUAUUUGGCCACCAAAAUGCCAUCGUAAAUCUUGAAACAUCUUUGUAAUUUCUGGAUGAAUUGAAUAUCUUGAGUUAUGAGCUUCAGUCAAGAUUUCGUCUUUAAUAUUCGGUACUGCUGGGACCCAAAUUCUUUCCUCGAGCCUUAAUAGUCCUUCAGCAUCGACCUUGUACUUCACCUCACUAUCCUCGAGAACUCUUUCUUUGAUUUUUCCACAUUCUUCAUCCUGUAGUUGAGCUUUCUUUACAUUGUCCACCAAAGUUGGACUAACUUCUAUUUGGAACAAUCUUUCAUCAGAUUCUUUCGGAAAUUUUAUUUCCAACUCUAGCCUUGCCAUUGCUGAAAUAAGCUCCUCCUGGGCAGUUAACAGCAUCAACUUCUCCCGACCCUUUCUACUCAAGGCAUCAGCAACCACAUUUGCUUUACCCGGAUGAUAAAAGAUUUCACAAUCAUAAUCUUUUAUCAAUUCUAGCCAUCGCCUCUGACACAUGUUCAGAUCCUUCUGUGUGAAAAUAUACUUCAGACUUUCAUGGUUCGUGUAUAUCUCAUAUUUCUGGCCAUAGAGAUAGUGUCUCCAUAUCUUCAGAGCAAAUACCACCACAGCCAAUUCUAAAUCAUGAGUCGGGUAUCCUUUUUCAUAGUCUUUUAGUUGUCUUGAGGCAUAAGCAAUGACUUUUCCAUUUUGCAUAAGCACACAACCUAGUCCUUUAUGUGAUGCAUCACUAUACACCACAAAGUUUCUUUUAUUAUCCGGUAAUGACAACAUAGGUGCCACACUAAGCUUCUUUUUCAAGUCCUAAAAACUCUUUUCGCACUUUUCCGUCCAAACAAAUUUUACAGAUUUCCUUGUCAAAUUUGUCAACGGAGUGGCAAUCUUGGAAAAAUCCUGAAUAAACCGUCUGUAGUAGCCUGAUGGUGUCCUUGAUUAUUCCCAAUUUAUUACAGCUUCGACCUUUGAUGGAUCCACCGAAAUCCCAUCUUUGUCAAUCACAUGCCCAAGAAAUUGAACACGUUCUAGCCAGAAUUCACACUUAGAGAAUUUCGCGUAUAACUUUUCUCUUCUUAGCGUCUCUAACGUCAAACAUAAAUGUUCUACGUGUUCCUCUUGAGAUUUGGAGUACACUAGAAUAUCAUCAAUGAAUACCACCACAAACUUAUCUAAGAAUGGUUUAAACACCCUGUUCAUCAAAUCCAUGAAUGCUGCAGGGGCAUUGGUGAAACCAAAAGACAUUACCAGAAACUCAUAGUGUCCAUACCGAGUUCUGAAUGUCGUCUUCGGUACAUCCUCCUUCGUUACUUUUAAUUAAUGAUACCCACUUCUCAAAUCUAUUUCGAGAAGUAUCUAGCUCUUUUUAAUUUAUCAAAUAAGUCAUCUAUUCUUGGUAACAUAUACUUAUUCUUAAUAGUGACUUUGUUUAACUCCCUAUAAUCAAUGCAAAGACGCAUCGACCCAUCAUUCUUCUUCACGAAUAACACCGGCGCUCCCCACGGUGAUACACUCGACUGAAUGUAUUUCUUAUCUAGCAUCUCUUGCAAUUGUACAAUCAAUUCCUUCAUCUCUACUGGAGCCAUUCUCUACGGGGCCUUAAAUAUCGGAGCAGUCCCUGGUGCUAAAUCGAUAACAAACUCGAUCUCUCUGUUAGGCGGAAGUCCUGGCAAAUCCUCCGGAAAUACAUCCACAAAAUCCCUAACAACUGGUAUCUCUUCCAGUUUCACACCCUUUCUCUGAGCAUCGACUAUGUAAGCUAAAUAUCCUACACAUCCUUGUCUAAACAACUUCUUGGCCUGCAUAAUCGUCACACAUCUCGCUUGUGUGACGCCCCCAAAAUAGGUAUACACCACCCAUUCUGAGUUGCCAAAUACAUGGUACAAAAUUCAAAUACAACUUAAUUAUACAACUGUCGUGUAAAAUACGACAAAACAUAAGCUGAGAGUUUUAAUACGAAUAUUAUCUUCUAGACAGUAUUCAAACUCAAAUGGAGUCCUUAUUACAUUUAUUAUCACACUAUUUCACAGAAUAGUGAUGACUACUAAUGCAAACAUCUGGACCGUCACUCCGUUCCCCGACUAGUCCCAGCUAUAUUCUCAUUUCCUGAAUAGAACAAUGAAAGUAAAGGGUGAGCUCAACUAGCCCAGUAAGAAAUAUUAUGACUAAGAUAAUGCAGAAUAAUUUAUUGGUAGUCUUCAACAGUGUUAAACUGAUAAAAUAUAAUAAACAUCAAGUUUAACUGCAGUGGAACAAGCAAUCCAUUAGAAGAGUCAAGUAGAGCAUGAUAUCUACUAUCUUAUAUGAUUUAAAAAGUUUAUCAUCAAUUUUAUCGCUGAGACUCAGCUUAAUAAAUAAUUCACAUCAUCGAAUCAUCCCUGCACUACGGGCCAAGGAUAUUUAUUAGUAUCACGACCACAAAGUAUCCAUGCACUACGGGCCAAGGAUAUUAGUGUUUUCACCAAUGGUCAUGAUCAUGCCAACAACUGUCCAUCAAUGCACUACGGGCCAAUGAGUACUUUUACCACAUCAUUUAUAACAUUACGGUCAUGAUUAUACUGAAUAAUCCCUGGUCAUAAUCAUACCAAUCAACAAUCCAUCUAUGCACGUAAGCCCAAGAUGACUUUUAUCACAAUAUAAGCAUGAGGAUGAUGACAAUGAUAUAAGAAUUCAAUUAAAAGAAAGCAAAAGAUAAAUUUUAAAGAUUUAAAAUUUAAUUUAUCCAGAAUUCAAUAAUGUCCAAAUUGUCAACAUGAUACUGCUUUGUGGAGUAAAAUUCAAGAAUGAUAUUGUACCAAAAAUAAUUUGGACAAAAAAAAAAUCAAUUUUUGUCAUGAAUAGUACCUCAGGUGAAUAGUACCCGAGUGAAUAGUACCAUGUGAAUAGCAAUUUGGGAAUAAAAUCCCGUGAAUAGUACUCCGACAUGAAAAGGUUAAAACUUAUCAAGAAUGCUCAGAAUAAUAUUUUCAUGAAAAGAUACUGGAUGAAGUGAAAAUAUCAAGGAUAUUCUACUAAUUUCAUGUAGUAUAAAAACCAAAACUUAACAAAAUGAGUGUAGAAUUUGGAAUCUGAAAUGAAAUAAUAUUACUUAUAUACUAUAGAGUAUGGAAGAAAAUAUUAUUUCUUACGAGUAUUGAACAAAAAUAAUAUCCAUUACCUUAAAAAUGAGAGUAUUCCAACUGGUAUAGCGGAGAUAUUCUUGAAGAAAACUUAUACUGUUUUCUACGCUCACAGCUUCCUUAAACUCAAAAGAAAUACGCUUAAUAUUAUAGAAGAAAAAUUCUCUAAUUCUGGUGUGAUUUUUAAUUCUAAACUAAGCAUCCUAUUUAUAGGAGAAUGGAAGGAUACUAUUUAGAAAAUUUUUCACGGGUGAACAAUAUUUUUUUUCUUUCUCACGGACGAAAGAACUGAAAGGUUCACGGAUGAAUUGAAUUCGCAGGCUUCUGAUUUUCAAAUUGCCUUACACACACGGAAGCUAUAUAUAUAUAUGAAUAUCCACUUCACAUGUUAUAUAUAUAUAUAUAUAUAUAUAUAUAUAUAUAUAUAUAUAUAUAUAUAUAUUCACACCCCACACACAUUCACCUGCACAUACAUUACACCCUCCACCACACGCCACUAAUAAAUAAUAUAUAUAUAUAUAUAAGAAAACUGAGAUAACUUUCUCCCGACGAUUUUGAAAAAUGAGAAAGUGGGGCUCCAUAUAAUAAGUAAAAUUUACAACAAAUACUAUAAUAAAAAUCCCCUCAAUAUUUUUAACAACAUUUAUUCAUCAUUAUUAUAACUCGCAAUAUUAACAACCAGAUUAUUCCCAGGAAAGAGGGGACUUUCCGAUAAGGAUUUCUCCCUAUUGGCUCGCAAUUAGGUGACCAAACCCCUUUUCUCGACAGAACUUUCUAGACAUCGUUAAUUAUGCAGAUAAUAAUAUGAAUAACUUGCCAUCUCAGUUAUUGAUUUAAUAAUAUAAAAUAUUAACAAUAAUUAAAUCAGAUAACGUGAGAUACUAUGCAACAAUUACUGUAACAAUAAUUGAAUAUAACUGAAUGACUUCUCACGUAAGCAUUAAUAAUCAAUACUGUGUGCUACUAUGCAACCACGCGUAUUACUGUACUUUUAACACCGGGUAUUUCAAUAGUUAACGAUAAAACUUUCGCCGUUAUUUUUAUAAAAAUAUAUUUCUUUCAUUUUCUAACUCCGACAAUAAUUCCGUUGUGGGGUCUACCAAUGAUUGUGCUGAAUAUUCUUUGACCAAUCGAAUAUUUUAUAACAACUUGCAUACUUUACAAAAUUUAUAAAUACUACCCACAACUAUAACAUUAUAUCAAAUUCACACCAUAAUAUUCAUAAAUAUAUUUCGAGAAAAAUUAAUCUUUAUUUAUGAAAGUUGGGGUCUUACAGCUUGUCUAGGCGAUUUGCUACCAUAGAAGACUACCUUUGACGGAGUCAUAAGGUUUACACUUUUCUUUUGGUAAUCAAUUAUCACUCCAUAAUUGAAUAGCCAAUCCAUUCCCAAUAUGACAUCAAACUCUCCAAGUUUAAUCGGGAUUAAAUCUACUAUCAUAAUACUCCCCUUAAUAUUCACCUUCUAAUUCCUAUAUACGAAUCUAACAGGAAUCAUCUCCCUAUUCGUAAUUUUUAUGUUUAAAGGGAAAUUUAACUCUUCACUAGGCAAUCCUAACCUCUUAGCAAAUUCAUUAGAUAUAAACGAGCAAGUAGCACCCGAAUCAAAUAAUACAUAUGUAUUUAUAUCAUUGAUUGGGAUAAUACCUAACACAACAUCUUUUGAUUGCACCACAUCUUGCACUGUCAUGUUAAAGGUUCUGGCUGUGGGUCUGCUCGAUGACAUUGGUCCAGCAAUAGCCAUCGUACCUCCACUGCCACCUCCUUUGCUUCCAGUUGCAUCUCCAACUUUCUUUUUAGGGCAAUCGUGAGCCAAAUGUUCCUUCGACCCGCAUGUGUAACAAGUAUUCUUCUUCGGUUGAUGGCAAUUCGGAGCAAUGUGACCCUCUUGACCACAGUUAAAGUACACUCGCUUACCCCUUAAGCACACACCAGUGUGAUUCUUCCCACAUGUAGCACACUCUUCAAAUUUCCUUUUCUGCUGGCUACUCUGUUGACUUCCAACACCAACACUCGCAUUCCACUUCCUCUUUGGGUUAUUAUUAUCCCCACCACUGCUACCACCAAUUUUACCUUCACUCUUAUUCUUCUUCUUUCUUUGUUCCUGAUUGUACUUCGUUACGGCAUCGCUUCCACCUUCUGCGAUAAUCACCUUUUUAAGUACCACUGCAAACGUCUUCAACUGAAACAUGGGGACUCUACUGUACAACCAGGGCUUCAGUCCCUGUUCGAACCUUCUCACCUUGCGCUCGUCUGUGUUCACUUGAUAUGGCGCAAACCUUGCCAACUCAUUGAAUUUUGCUGCAUACUCCGAUACUAUCAUUGCACCCUGCUUCAGUUCUAAAAACUAGGCCUCCAUCUGAUUCUGUGAACUCUCUGGGAAAUAGGUCUCAAAAAAUAUUUCCUUGAACCUAUCCCAAGUCAUUACCCCCUGACAUCCUCUGGUUUUGUUUGCCUUCCACCAAUAACUUACUUCUACUUUUAACAUGAACGUCGCAAAAGCAGUCUUCUGGUCCUCACCGACUCUAGCAACGCCAAAAACUUUCUCUAGUUUAAUGAUCCAGGUCUGUGCCUCAACCGGAUUCAUGGACCCACAAAAUUUUGGUGGUCCAACCGCCUUGAAAUCCUUAAAAGUCGCAGCUUGGUUCUGCGGUUGAUUCUGCAGCGCUCCCAUCAGUACUGUCACCAACUGCUGAACUAGGUUAGCCUCAGCGUUGUUGUUAUUUGUAGACCCCUAAGGGGUUCGUUGUCAUGAUUGACGUCUUGGAGGCAUUUUCUGUUAAAAUACACUAAUUAGAUUAUUACUCAAUCUUUUAAAUAUUUUCUACUUAACUUGCACAUCAUAAAAGAUCAUCACAUAACACAUAACAUCUUGAAUAAAUAUUAACAUUUUAUUCAUUCAUCAUCUUUAAAGAAAACAUAGGAAAGAUAACAUCCCUGCUAUCUACAUCACUUUCCUGAAAUAAUAAAGUUUCAGGAUAACAUCAUCAUAUCCCAUUAGUUACAUAACACUUGGGAUUAACAUCUUAUUUACUGUCUAAUCACAUAACAAUUACAUUAUCUAUUAUGGCCUACUAAGUUACUACAUAGCCUUACAACGCUCCUCUUCCAUAAUACAGAACAUCGUUCUACGAUCUAACAUAUACCAUGACAACAUUUCGAAUUGAGUUGGAUAAUACAUGACUCGUUCUUGAGCUCGGUUUAUCACGGUGUUGAAAACACAAUUCAUCUCUUCUAUCUUGACCUUCUUUGCUUGUACCACUCCCUCUGCUACCUCUGUACGUUGAGAAGCUUUCUCGUACGCAUCUUCAACUCUUGCUCUCUUGGCGGAUUCUUCUUUCAAGUUAUCCUUCAGCUUUGCAAUCUCCUCCAUCAGCUGCUCAUUAUCCCCCUCUGUGUGAACCAUCUUCCAUUCCACAUUACCAAGAUGCUUGUCAAGAUCCAUGAUCUCAUCGUCCUUCUGUGCCAUCGAAGUCUGACGUUUAGCUACUAACUCCUCCAAUUCCUCGACUCUAUCCUGAAGCUCAAUGUUACGAUCAUAUACUUCGUCAUAUAUAUGAGCUAUGAUAGAGUUUGGUGGAAACUCUUCCUCACUCUCAUCCUGAUCCGUCUGUGGCAGCUCCACGGGGUCUUCCUCAUUCGUCUCUACCUCAUCCUCAUCAUCAGGUAACCCUCGUGCUCAAACUCUAGGGCAUGGCCGACCACUGUGACCAAUGGAGAUAACUCCCUUGGCACUAGUUGUUCUCAAACUACCUGAAUAUCUCGAGGCUCCUCCUCUCUAGGCAUCUGAGGUCCCUCCUCCCUAGCCUGACUGGAUUCUCCUACAUUAGCCAUCCUGACAACAAAAUUUUUAAGUUUUUAAUUAUUAAUUAUCACUACUCGACACUCACGAGCACAUAGGUUGCAACCACAUAAGCACAUAGAGUGUUUUAUUAUUUCUUCCUUAAAACUCAAUAAGAGUUUAUCACCACUAUAUUUUCAAUCUUCUAUAAGGUUACUUCCUAAGGUUUUUCCCCCACCUAAGGUUCAUAACCUAAACUUUGAUACUAACUUGUGACACUCCUAAAUCUGGGUACAUCAUUCCCACAAGAUUUGGUGUUCACUAUCCAAACAUCCAUUUCUAACUACCCAAAUAUAAUAAAAUUUAAACCAUAAUUUUUCCCAUUAAAGAGAUACAUAACUUAAACCAAUAAAUCCCAGGUCAUCUAACCUUAAACAUUCAUCAAAUGCGGAAAAUUAAAUAAUUACAUCACAAUAAUUAAAACAAAGUCUGACAACAUAAAAGUCAAUAAAUUUACAAGUCUUCAACACUUGUUCAUUUUUCCUUCCCUUUUGCUAGUGGUAGGUUCAUCAACCUUCUCAACUUUAGCUGCAAUGGUUUUAUAUGCAAGAGUGAGCAAAACAAAUGCUCACUUGAAAUGGCAAUGAAUACUAACAAUAUAGAAACUACCAAUGAAUAAACUCAAUUAAACUGAAUAACAUUCUCUAUCAUUAAUAAUCAAGAACUGAAAUCAGAAUUUGAAAUUUAUCUGAGGGUCACAAGACCAUGAACUAUGUCUAAGGUUAUAAGUAUUCUUUCAACUUAAACCUAAACAGUCAUAAGACUGUAGGGACUCUCCAUACUUAGGGUGAUCAGCCCUUCGUACCAUGUAUUGUGCACAAAUAUCUAAACGCUUACGCGUAAUAAAUCCCCUAUAAUAGGGUUGUUCAUCUCAGUUUUAACAUACGAGUCCGCACCAAAGGAAGUUUGGUUUGUAUAUGUUUCAAGGGUAAUUUAGAGUUUAACGAACAUCAACUAUGGAUUAGUUGAAUCAAUAAAGUUUGAUAUCAUUUCAAGUGUUUGAAAACAAUAUGAUAUGGAAUAAUCAUGUAUCAUAAGUAAAUCAACAUUAUACAUCAAAAUCAUGCUUUAGAAAUGAACUAGAAAGAGUAGGCAUUGGAUAUUAUAACAAACCUUGCUUGAACAACAAUAAGCUAAGGCUAUAAUCUUACUCAAUAAAAGGAUUGAGUUAAUGAACUUGCAUAAUUAAUAACAAGUUGAGGAAUAAAACUUUCUCAACUUAAGAUUAAUAGAAUUUAGGAAUUUGCGUAAUAAGAAACAAGUUAUAGAUAAGAAACAUUCUCAAAGUAAGAGUUAGGUUAAAGAACUUGCAUGAACAUAAUCAAAUUAUAAAAGUAGGGUUAGGAACUUGCUUAAUUGUGAACAAGAUAGGGUAAACUCAAAUAGAGAUUAGAGUUCAAAAACUUGCCUCGUGCAUAAGCUAUUAAAUUACAACUCACGUUCACCUACACAUAUCAUUAGAAUCACAACAUCUAUUAGGUAUACUAACAUUAACCUUACAAGUAAAAUCCCAUUUUAGUUGAACACGUUAUCUUAGUACAAGUUCCAAUCACUAGCACGAUACACAAUUCUGAAAUCAUAAGUCUUAACAUUACAACACUUAAUCACCAUCUCUAGACUAUAACAAAUAAUAACAUGAAGUUUUCACAACUUACUAAUUUUACAAAUUCAGAAUUAUCAAAUAAAUAUUACAAUCUGUUAUAGCGUCUUUGUUACAUGCUCACCACAUUAUCAUUUUCAUUAGACUAAAUUAUAUUGAGUUUUAAAGACUAAACAAUCAACAAGACAUCACUGUCUCUGUUCUGGCUAGGGCGCAGCUGCGCCGUUUAAAGCUCUAGAACCAGCACAGCGCAGCUGCACCGUUUCUGCCUUUGACUCUAGUGCAGCUGCGCUGGUGCGCAGACAGAAACUUCGUAGACUAUUUCUUACUCUGUUCAAACCCAAUACACAUGAUUUUCAUCAUUUAAGCAGCAAAUUAAACACACCCAAUUCAUAUAGGCUUCAUAUAAACAUUAACCAACAUAUAUACACUGAUUUAAAACAACUAAACAACUAAAAAAAUGAAACUAAAAGAAUUAAAACCAUGUUCAAGCUUAAAACUCAAAUUUUGACGUGUUUAACGAAUUCAAUUACUAUGACUUCAUUUCUCAACCAAAACAGUUCAUUCAAACUACAUUCUUUUCGUUUCUUUGUGAAUUAACACAUUCAAGAAUCAAUUUACAAUUUAAUUCACGAAUUAAAUAUCAAUUUUGGACUCCAACAAGCCAUAUUCAUACGUAUGCUCACUGUAACUAAUUUCUUUUUUUUUGAACGUGAUUUUCUGAAUUAAUAUACGAAAUCCAUGUCUAGAUGUUAGUUAUCACAUUACAAUUACAUAUAAACACAAUCAAUCACUUCAUAAAUCCAAAGUUCAUCAAAAGUUGCAUUAAAGAGAUUUUGAAAACCAAUUUUAUUUUGCAGUGAAACUCAAAAACACUAUUCCUUCAAUUAAAUUCCAUAUUCUUGAUUUAAUUCUACAUAUAACAAUAAUCAUCUGAAUACAAAUUUCUAUUCUCACAAAUCAUCAACUAAAAACUCAAUUACAGAGAAUUUUUAUGAAAACUCAAGAACACAUAAAACGUUUCAUAUAUAUUAGAACUAAAACUUUAGAAAUUAAAAUUAUACCUUUAAUUUGCUUGUUUAACCAACAAGAAUGAUUAGCUAGCUUAUUUGAUUUCUCAAACUCCUUCCUUCAAACUCACAGACUUCUCUCCUUUUCUGUCUUUUUUGUCUUCUUUCUCUUCUUUGUUUUCUUCUUCCUUUAGUAUUAGGCUAAAACUAAAACUUAACGUAAAAAUAAAACAGACGCUAACGUAUAAAAAUUGACAUAUACUAAUAACUCUACUAAAUAUAUGAGUUAUUUUUUAUUUUAAAUUCAAAAGUUAUAAGGUCUUGUCUGGCAAAAUACUUUUACAAUAAAGACUUAACAUUCCUUAAGCCUUGUUUGGCAUCACUAAAUUUAAACUUUUUUUUAAUUUAUUGUAAUAACUCAUUUAUAAUAUAGUUUGUUGUCACACUUUAUUUAAUUAAAUUCUAAUAUUCAAAUUUAAUUAAAUUAAAGCUAAUAAAAACUUAUUAAAUUAAUUUGCCACAUAAUCACAUUGCCACAAAAUUAUAAUUUUCUUAUAAUUUAAUUUAAUAAAUUAAUACAUCACUUUCAUUACUAAAUUAAAUUAAAAUAACAUUAUAAUAAUUCAUUUAAUCCUUAUUAACUCUCUAAUUUAAUUAUUAAAUUAAAUUAGAAUAUCACCACAUAAUAAUUAAUUCAUUACUCUUUUAUUUUAAUUAACUUUAAAAUACCAAAUUACCAAUUAUCAACUUAAUUAACAUAUUACCUUAAUUAAGUUAAUUCCCAACAACUCAUGAAUUAUUUAUUUAACUAAUAAAUAAUCAAAUUAAAUAAAUAUUUAUUUAACAAUAAACAGAUCAACUAAAAUAUUUUUUAAUUUUAAUAAAUAUUUUAAAUUACACAUAAAAAUUUUGGAUUAUUACAAUAGGUCUGUUUUAUUGGUGAUGAUCAGAAUUUGACUGUUGCUAAAAAGGUUAUAAAAAUUCAAAAUUUUGGUAAUAGUAGUAGAUGUUGGAUUAUAGAGUAAGUGCGGUUGAAGUUUAUGGAUAAUUUAUGCUGCUAAAGUUCUCAGGUGAAGAUAUUGACAUUCUUUUUGGUUAUUUGUGUUCCAUCACUUUUUCUAUUUAUUUUACAUGUAUUUUGUGGUAUGGCUGUUUAAUCAGUUUUUCAAAAAGGCUGAUGAUUUAAUAAAGUUGUUUGCUCUUAUGCCUCUUUUAAUUGUAUAUAUGUUAUUAUGUAUGCUUAUAUAUUGUUGUGUAGAUGGUUGCUAUGAGAUUCUAUUGAUACAUAAAUUUGUGUAUGUUGGUCUUUAUCGGUAAAAUGUGUACAUUACAUGUUUGAUGAAAUGCCAAAAAGAAAUAUACAUUAAUAUUUCAUAAUGCCUAGAAUGUAUACUAAUAUAACCUAACUCUAAAGGUUGUUAGCUCAAAGAUGAUAAUGCAGAGAGGUUAAGGACACCAAAUACGUCUUGCUGAAUGCUUGGUAGGUGACGAGACUGGAAUGAUUAUAUUCAAAGCCAGAAAUGAUCAGGGAAUGGUUUAUUGUUGAAGUUACUAGAAAACAUUGUUAUUUAGCCUUUACUUUGAUUUCCUUAUAAUGUUAUGUGUUAAUUAUUCUAAGUUUGGUCUGCUUUGCUAGAAGAGAUCUCAACUGAUAGCCACUUCAUCCCAAAUUGAGAAUUUCAGUUUGCAUAAACAUGACCAAUUUAUUUUUGAUGUUUAAUGUGGACUCCUCAUUUGUUCAUUUUCUUUACAACUAUUGAUAAGCUGAAUAAAGACUCAAAAAAUGAGGUAUAUGUGGAUGAUAUGACAAAUGUUUUGUAAUCAAUUCGUGUUAUAAAUAUAACUAGAAGGCUGACAGUGAGUUUUAAGGAAUGAGAAG
rnacentral:lncRNA from 1 species